UAUGGAUGUGCUAUAUCAGUGUCCACGGUGCUCCACAAGAAAACCAACAUAUGAAAAACUGCUGAAACAUCAACAGAUAUACCAUGAAAGUGAAUGUGGAUUCUUCAUUGUCUGCGGACUAGAAGACUGUCCCAGAAAGUUUUUGUCUGUGAAAUCUUUGAAAAAUCACAUAAGGAAGAAACAUAAAUAUCAGAAACAAGGAUUAGAGUCUGCCCCAGACUGUGACCCUGUCAUCCAGGAAACUGUUGAAUUUCCCCAAUCAUCUGAACGAACUCUGAGUGAACUUGUAGAGAACUUUACGGAGACUGUGAGAAAACAACUGGCAUUGUUUUCCUUGAAUCUCCAAGAGAAAAGUAUUGUAAAUAGAAAAGUUCAAACAUUUGUUAUUAGUGAAGUAGAGUCAAUUUUCAAGUAUUUUAUUGAAAACUAUAGGGAGAUAUUUUCUAAAUGUUUGCAGACUCUUAAUUUUGAUAUAUCAAGUUUUCAUUAUAUUGAUGACAAUAGUUUGGUAGAACAUUGCUUCACUGCAGUCAGCAACACAUAUCAACUAGACAGAUACUGUGUUGAGAAAUUAAACUUGAUUGAACCUGUUGAAUGUAUCCUGGGGAUAGAUCCUUUUACUGGGAAACAGGACACUUUUCAGUAUAUUCCACUUCUAAAAGUCUUAGAAUUAAUAUGUAAUGAUCCUAACAUUUUAAGACAAUUUUUUAGGCCAGAGUCCCGUGCUCCUGAAACCUUAACAGAUUUUAGUGAUGGGAAAAUUUACAAAGAAAGUGAAUUUUUUUAACACAGACAACCCACAUUUGAGAAUUCAGUUGUACACUGAUGAAUUUGAAGUUGCUAAUCCAAUAGGAUCAAAGAAACGUCUACAUAAAGUGUCUGCAUUUUAUUUUACUUUGGGAAAUAUUCCACCAAACGACAGAUCUGUUUUAAGACAUAUUCAUCUGUUGAUACUUGUCAAACAUAGAUUGGUGAAAACAUAUGGAUUUGAGAAAAUAUUAGAACCAUUAAUUUGUGACCUACAGGUUUUGCAAGAACGUGGAUUACGAUUAAAAUUUGAAGACAGACAGUACUGCAUCAAAGGUGGUCUGGCCACAAUAUCUGCAGACAAUCUAACCUCUCACACACUUGCAGGUUUUAGCUGCUCAUUCAGUAAUGGUAGAAUAUGCAGGUUUUGUAUGUGUCAUUACAAGGACCUGUCUAGGAUCAUUAGUGAGGGAGAUUGUGUUCUUAGAACAAAGACUGUUCAUGCAUACCAUCUGCAAUGUGUUGAAGAUGACCCCCACUGUAGGUCAGUGUAUGGUGUAACUGGCCCAUGUGCCUUCAACAAGCUGUCAUAUUUUGAUACCACAAAUGCAUUCCCACCUGAUGUAAUGCAUGAUUUUCUUGAGGGGGUCAUUCCUCUUGUUUUGAAGUCUGUUUUAAAAGCUUUGCUCAAUGACAAAACCGUUACUAUCCAAGAGGUUAAUGACAACAUAAGGAAUUUUAGUUUUGGACAGAAUGACUGCACCUCCAAACCUGCUCUAAUACCUGAGAAGGUAGCACUGGAUGGAAAUAUCUCUGGAACUGCUGUUGAGAAAUGGACAUUAUUUAGGACUCUGCCUUUCCUCAUAGGCUCCAGGAUUGAAAAGGGUAACAAGUUUUGGCAGCUUUAUCUUUUGGUUCGAGAAAUAGGAGAGAUUAUUCUUGGUCCAACCAUCAGCACUGACUGGAUUAGUAAUCUACAUGAACUGAUCACUUACUUUUUGACAGAUUUCAAGAAUCUGUUUCCUGGUGUGUUUACACCCAAGCUGCAUUUUCUGCUACAUUAUCCUCGGCUCAUCCUUGAUUAUGGGUCACUCCGCUCUCAUUGGUGCAUGAGGUUUGAAGCCAGACAUCAAUAUUUCAAGACAGUAGCAAGAAUCACCAAUAACUAUAUUAAUAUUUGUCAGACUUUGGCAAAGAGGAAUCAGCUUCGUCAAUGCUGGGAGUAGCAGCCUGAACGGAUCAUCAGGAGCGAUCAUACACAAGCAGCCGUUAAUAACUUAUCACUUCAAGAACUUCCAGUGAACUUGCAGAUUUGUUUGCAAAACUUGGAGACAGCCGUUACUGUGGAUGAGAAACUCUGGACAAGUAAAUGCAUCAUUUUAAACUCUGUAAAAUAUGCAGUUGGAGAUUUCUUCAUUUUGGAACUUGUGCAUGCAGAGCAAAUUCCACUGUUUGUGAAAAUAGUCCUGAUUGUGUAUAUCAGGGCCAACUGGUUUCUUGUUGGAAGACUUUUCACAACACUGGAGUUUAUAAGACACCUUCAAUCAUACCACAUCAGAGAGACUGAUGAUCUGUUGAUAUUCAAGCCUGGGGAUGAGGUAGACUUUCAUGCUUUGGACGCAUACAGAUGUGAUGGUCAAGACUUCAUUACACUGAUCCACCGACCUUUUAAGGCAGUCCAUACCAAAACAAUGAAAUCGAUGGAUCGACACUUCUGCAGAUGACUGAAAGAAUGAGUGAGCGUCUUUUUCCAAAAGUGAAAGACCAAGUGAAAUUUUUGUCUGCUGUAGAGAAGCUGAAAGAUGGAAGGCAACACAAAGAAAAGCAUACUGUGUCAGCACUCCAACUUAUGUUUAACUGCAAAGUGCAGUUUCCUCCAGCUGUGAUCACUGCGUUGACCAAUAAAGAUGCAGCACUAAAGUCACCCACCAAGAACAGACUCAAAAACAUGCUUAUUCAAGCACUGUUUGACCACUUGAGUAAUGAGACAAUGUAUCCCUCUCAUGUGCAGUAUGUAGAGCGUCUGAGGACUGUCCUUCUGAGUUUUCCAUUAUUGAAGGAGAGUUAUGGCUCUGGAUCGGCUGACUCUUGGUGGCGCUAUCACUUGGUGUUCGCUCGCUCUGUGCUUCUUGAAGAGGCUUCCAUGUUACUUAAAACUGAUGUGGACAAAAAAGUAAUCCGAGGAUUCAGUAAGUUGGCAGCGAAGCUUGUGUCAAUAGCCCCAAACAGCAACCUUAAAAGCCUCUGCUUAAAAUCUGUUGAUGAGAGCCAGACAGACACUGAAAGAAAAGGUCAGAUGGUAAACACAGCUGUUCUUCUCCUGCCAUCUAUUUUCAAAGAAAAUGCCUCUCAUCUCUUCGUCAUAAAUAAGGAUCCACACAGCCCGAUACCUACAAUCGUACUCAGCAGCAGUGACGGCAAGCCCUUGAGUGAUUCAACUGAGGUCAAUGUCCAGAUGGAUGGACAAAAAAUGAUUCUGGACAGUGGGGAAAUGGACAUUUCAUUGGCGAUGGGUAUUGUCUUCUCCCUGUACCAUGUUUACAAUGUUGCCUAUCCAAGUGAACUAAAAAAGACAUUUUGCUUUUUGGAGGCAUUUGUUCUCAACUUGGGAACUCUGACUACACCUGUACCAGUAGCUGUGCAAAGAGUGACAAAUGCAUUAAAUAUCUCCUAGAUUGCCAGCAUAGUGCAGGUGAGAGACUGAAAUUGUCCCAGUGUGGACUAACAAAGGACCAUGAGUCCCACGUUAAACUUAACUUACAUAACUUAAGGCUGCAGUUCAUUGAUAAUUUAAAUAAAAAGAUUGUUCUUGAAAUAGUUUUACUGAAAAUGCAAACAUGCUGAUGAAAAUGUGUUGUUUAAUUGUCUGUUAUGAAAGUAUUGCUAUUUCUAAUGUAAAAAUU